rnacentral:tRNA from 1 species
GGCUUUCUCACUUUUAAAGGAUAGCAGUAAUCCAUUGGUCUUAGGAACCAAAAA